ensembl:misc_RNA Metazoa_SRP Metazoan signal recognition particle RNA
GCCAGGCACUGUGGCAUGUGCCUGUAGUCCCAGUUACCCAGGUGGCUGAGGCAGGAGGGUCACUUGAUCCCAGGGAGUUCUGGACUGUAGUGUGCUAUUCCAACUGGGUGUCCACACUAAGUUCGGCAUCAAUAUGGUGACCUCCUGUAGUGAGGGACCACUAGGUUGCCUAACGAGGGAUGCCAGCUCAGGUCAGAAAUGGAGCAGGUCAAAACUCCCAUCUAAUCAAUAGUGGGAUUGCCCCUUUGAGUAUCCUCUCCACUCAAGCCUGGGCAACAUAGUGAGAUCUCUUCUCUC